UAAUGCGCCUGAACACAUUCAUGCUCAAGAAGAGUUUUACUUGACUAUUUCUAUAGAAAACUGUUCUGGCCAAGAUAAAAAACUUUUAUUAGUGAUUUCGGAUCAACCAAAAUUAUUACAUCCAGUCGCCAUAGACCAAGAUUUAUGUAUAGAAAAAAGUCAAACUUCCUUGGAAGAAGCUGAAGGUUAUACAAUAUUCCAAGAGCUGGAGAAUUUGGAAGUUGGUUGUAUAUGCGUCGACGAGUGUAUUCCUCUUGGUUGCGUCAAAUCUGCAACUUCAAAAACCGUUUCUGUAAAAUUUUACGCUUUUACUUCUGGAGUGUACGAACUUCCUCCCGUUCGCUUGUGUGAUCAAGUUAAUAAUAAA